rnacentral:rRNA from 1 species
GAUGAACGCUGGCGGCGUGCCUAAUACAUGCAAGUCGAGCGAACAGACGAGGAGCUUGCCCCUCUGACGUUAGCGGCGGACGGGUGAGUAACACGUGGAUAACCUACCUAUAAGACUGGGAUAACUUCGGGAAACCGGAGCUAAUACCGGAUAAUAUAUUGAACCGCAUGGUUCAAUAGUGAAAGACGGUUUUGCUGUCACUUAUAGAUGGAUCCGCGCCGCAUUAGCUAGUUGGUAAGGUAACGGCUUACCAAGGCAACGAUGCGUAGCCGACCUGAGAGGGUGAUCGGCCACACUGGAACUGAGACACGGUCCAGACUACUACGGGAGGCAGCAGUAGGGAAUCUUCCGCAAUGGGCGAAAGCCUGACGGAGCAACGCCGCGUGAGUGAUGAAGGUCUUCGGAUCGUAAAACUCUGUUAUUAGGGAAGAACAAAUGUGUAAGUAACUAUGCACGUCUUGACGGUACCUAAUCAGAAAGCCACGGCUAACUACGUG